CGACGAACGCUGGCGGCGUGCCUAAUACAUGCAAGUCGAACGAAACUUUCUUACACCGAAUGCUUGCAUUCACCGUAAGAAGUUGAGUGGCGGACGGGUGAGUAACACGUGGGUAACCUGCCUAAAAGAAGGGGAUAACACUUGGAAACAGGUGCUAAUACCGUAUAUCUCUAAGGAUCGCAUGAUCCUUAGAUGAAAGAUGGUUCUGCUAUCGCUUUUAGAUGGACCCGCGGCGUAUUAACUAGUUGGUGGGGUAACGGCCUACCAAGGUGAUGAUACGUAGCCGAACUGAGAGGUUGAUCGGCCACAUUGGGACUGAGACACGGCCCAAACUCCUACGGGAGGCAGCAGUAGGGAAUCUUCCACAAUGGACGCAAGUCUGAUGGAGCAACGCCGCGUGAGUGAAGAAGGUCUUCGGAUCGUAAAACUCUGUUGUUAGAGAAGAACACGAGUGAGAGUAACUGUUCAUUCGAUGACGGUAUCUAACCAGCAAGUCACGGCUAACUACGUGCCAGCAGCCGCGGUAA
rnacentral:rRNA from 1 species